rnacentral:Y_RNA from 1 species
GAGUGGUCCGAGUGCAGCGGUGUUUAUAACAAAUCAUCACAACCAGUUGCAGAUUCUUUUGUUCUUUCUCCAUACCCACUGCUUCACUUGACUAGCCUUAA